UACGAAGGGGGCUAGCGUUGCUCGGAAUCACUGGGCGUAAAGCGCACGUAGGCGGAUUGUUAAGUCAGGGGUGAAAUCCUGGAGCUCAACUCCAGAACUGCCUUUGAUACUGGCGAUCUCGAGUCCGGGAGAGGUGAGUGGAACUGCGAGUGUAGAGGUGAAAUUCGUAGAUAUUCGCAAGAACACCAGUGGCGAAGGCGGCUCACUGGCCCGGUACUGACGCUGAGGUGGCGAAAGCGUGGGGAGCAAACAGG
rnacentral:rRNA from 1 species